rnacentral:lncRNA from 1 species
ACCCCAAAAACGACCCUUCUCUAACUUCUUCCGACGCUGCCGCUGUCGCCGGAGCUGCUAAAUUCUUCGACAAACAACCCAAUUCACCGCAGCCGCCAUUGUUCUCGGCGGAUUCCUUCAUUAGCCGUCUGAGCAGCUUCUCCUCGGCGUCCCUCAUGAACUUGAACUUCGGCGGCGGCGAGGAUAUCAGCCGGUUCAGCUCCGCCUCCGCCGCCGAUUCAAACAGCGGAUUGAAUCCCUGCAGCGAGUACCGCGGCGACUC